rnacentral:pre_miRNA from 1 species
CUCCUACUUCCUCCGUUCGGAAUUAUUUGUCGCAGAAAUGGAUGCAUCUAGAUGUAUUUUAGUUCUAGAUACAUCCAUUUUCGAGACAAGUAAUUCCGAACGGAGGGAGUAGAAU